rnacentral:ncRNA from 1 species
AACGCCUCUAAGUCAGAAUCCGGGCUAGAAGCGACGCAUGCACCCUCUGUCCGCUUGCCGACCCACAGUAGGGUCCUCGGCCCCCAAGGGCACGUGUCGUUGGCUAAGCCGCCGCCGCGGAAGGGUCGCGGUGGGUAGAAUCCUUUGCAGACGACUUAAAUAUGCGACGGGGUAUUGUAAGUGGCAGAGUGGCCUUGCUGCCACGAUCCACUGAGAUUCAGCCCUUUGUCGCUCCGGUUCGU